rnacentral:rRNA from 1 species
AGUGAACGCUGGCGGUAGGCCUAACACAUGCAAGUCGAACGGCAGCACAGGAGAGCUUGCUCUCUGGGUGGCGAGUGGCGGACGGGUGAGGAAUACAUCGGAAUCUACUCUGUCGUGGGGGAUAACGUAGGGAAACUUACGCUAAUACCGCAUACGACCUACGGGUGAAAGCAGGGGACCUUCGGGCCUUGCGCGAUUGAAUGAGCCGAUGUCGGAUUAGCUAGUUGGCGGGGUAAAGGCCCACCAAGGCGACGAUCCGUAGCUGGUCUGAGAGGAUGAUCAGCCACACUGGAACUGAGACACGGUCCAGACUCCUACGGGAGGCAGCAGCGGGGAAUAUUGGACAAUGGGCGCAAGCCUGAUCCAGCCAUACCGCGUGGGUGAAGAAGGCCUUCUGGUUGUAAAGCCCUUUUGUUGGGAACGAAAUCCAGCUGGCUAAUACCCGGUUGGGAUGACGGUACCCAAAGAAUAAGCACCGGCUAACUUCGUGCCAGCCGCCGCCGUAA